CUCCCCGCGAGGACUCUGUCUUCUUCCCCAGGAACCCUGAGUCUGUAGCCUCAAAUCUCCCACGUCCCGGGCUGCCUGGUUCCCCCUUGUCAUUGUCAACCAUGGAUCCCUUGCUGUUCAACUCAGAGCGACCAAAGUCCUAGGCCCAGUGAUGUGAUCUGUGAUCAGUUGCCAGGAGGGACGGAGACCCACAAGGGGAAAAGGAUCAUCCAUCCACAGCUCAGGGUAUAGUCAAAGCAGCUUACGGUGACAGAUUGAACGCAGAACCUGAUAGGAGCUUCUCGUAAACCGGAUGUCAGAGAGA